AAAUAAUUUUUUGGGAGCCGUGGUGGCUUGGGCCAGUUGUCCUGGUGCCUGAGGAGGCGAGGCUAUGCGUUCAAGGCCAACCUGGGCAACAUAAGAACCUCUCAUUCAUU